GCAUAUCAAUAAGCGGAGGAAAAGAAACCAACAGGGAUUGCCCCAGUAACGGCGAGUGAAGCGGCAACAGCUCAAAUUUGAAAUCUGGCCCCCCGGGCCCGAGUUGUAAUUUGCAGAGGACGCUUUUGGCGCGGCACCUUCUGAGUCCCCUGGAACGGGGCGCCAGAGAGGGUGAGAGCCCCGUAGAGUCGGAUGCCAAGCCAGUGUAAAGCUCCUUCGACGAGUCGAGUAGUUUGGGAAUGCUGCUCAAAAUGGGAGGUAAAUUCCUUCUAAAGCUAAAUACCGGCUAGAGACCGAUAGCGCACAAGUAGAGUGAUCGAAAGAUGAAAAGCACUUUGAAAAGAGGGUUAAACAGCACGUGAAAUUGUUGAAAGGGAAGCGCUCACGACCAGACGUGCGCCGGGCGGAUCAUCCAGCGUUCUCGCUGGUGCACUCCGCCCGGCUCAGGCCAGCAUCGGUUCUGGCGGGGGGACAAAAGGCCCGGGAACGUAGCUCCCCAGGGAGUGUUAUAGCCCGGGCCACAAUGCCCCCGCCGCGACCGAGGUCCGCGCCCUGCAAGGAUGCUGGCGUAAUGGUCUUCAGCGACCCGUCUUGAAACACGGACCAAGGAGUCAAGGUUUUGCGCGAGUGUUUGGGUGUCAAACCCCCACGCGUAAUGAAAGUGAACGCAGGUGAGAGCUUCGGCGCAUCAUCGACCGAUCCUGAUGUCCUCGGAUGGAUUUGAGUAGGAGCGCAAUGCCUUGGACCCGAAAGAUGGCGAACUAUGCUUGGAUAGGGUGAAGCCAGAGGAAACUCUGGUGGAGGCUCGCAGCGGUUCUGACGUGCAAAUCGAUCGUCAAAUCUGAGCAUGGGGGCGAAAGACUAAUCGAGCCAUCUAGUAGCUGGUUGCCGCCGAAGUUUCCCUCAGGAUAGCAGUGUUGAUCUUCAGUUUUAUGAGGUAAAGCGAAUGAUUAGGGACUCGGGGGCGCUCUUUAGCCUUCAUCCAUUCUCAAACUUUAAAUAUGUAAGAAGCCCUUGUUGCUCAGUUGAACGUGGGCCUUCGAAUGUACCAACACUAGUGGGCCAUUUUUGGUAAGCAGAACUGGCGAUGCGGGAUGAACCGAACGCGGGGUUAAGGUGCCAGAGUGGACGCUCAUCAGACACCACAAAAGGCGUUAGUACAUCUUGACAGCAGGACGGUGGCCAUGGAAGUCGGAAUCCGCUAAGGACUGUGUAACAACUCACCUGCCGAAUGUACUAGCCCUGAAAAUGGAUGGCGCUCAAGCGUCCCACCCAUACCCCGCCCUCAGGGUAGAAACGACGCCCUGAGGAGUAGGCGGCCGUGGGGGUCAGCGACGAAGGCCAGGGCGCGAGCCCGGCUCGAGCGGCC
rnacentral:rRNA from 1 species